rnacentral:tmRNA from 1 species
GGGGGCGAUCGGAUUUGACUGGUUCACCGCAGGUUGGGGUGGCGUGUCGUGGUUGAUCAGCAGGCCACGUUAAAAGCUGAUCAAAAACCAACUGCCACUGAAAAGCAGUUCGCAAUGGCUGCCUAAUUAGGCUGCCCCGGCUUAGGAAUCCCCGUCUGAGGAGUCCGACAGCCGGUCACAAAAUCAGACUGGCCUCGGGUCACCGGUGACCACGCCUGAGGUGAGACAAGUUGUGACCUGGUCGGAGAGCGGCUCUGUCUGCCGUGCCACCUCCGAUAAGAGCGGAAACGACCGACUACACACGUAGAGGCCUCAGCUAAGGGUUCACAGGACGCGGGUUCGAUUCCCGCCGCCUCCACUU